UCCAGAGGAAGCCACCAGAGGGCAGUGUCAGCCCGCAUCUCACGGCUCUCCAACGCCCUCCUGGGCAGGACCAGUCACCCGGCAAAAGAGGCCCAGUCUGCAAAGGGAACGUUUUGCAGACAGAGCAACCAAGGCUCAGCCCGGGCUCACUCUGCAGGGAAACCUUCGGGCCCAGCAGGGCUCAAAAUGGACCAGCGGCAUCAACUUCUGGAACCCGGGCCCCAGCUCUCCACACUGCAACAUGGACACUGAAGAGACCAGAGGAAGUACUUUUUGGUUAUUUAUCUCUAAAGUCUAAACACGUAUCAACACCUGCAGGAAAUCAGCAACUCAUACCACACGUCACUUCCAUCUGAAGCGUCCAGGCUAGAGGAGAUAUCCAAGAUACCACAUCCUAAGCUCAACACGGAGAUCCCGGGGACCGACAUGAAGACAGUGACCUCACCUGCAGCGGUGGGUCAGUUUCUGGAACCAGCCCUCCGGUGAUAGGACGGCAUUUUGCUUGUUAUUUUUUGGUCUGGACUUCGAAUUCUUUCCUCGCCAGGACCCAAGUGCCAAGGUUUCUGACCCCUGCUUUGGUCUGACCCCCUCCAGCCAGACACCAGGUGCCGUUCCCGCCGCCCUCAACAUAUUCAAGGCAGUUGGAACCAUCAGAAUCCAAAUGAGACUAAGAAGCAAGCAAAAACGCUUUCCCCAAACACUAAGCAGUAGCAAGAGGUUGAUGCUGUAUUGCUGUUCCUAUAUGUAUCGUAAACAGAAUGCUUCCUUUGUGGAUAGGAAGUUUCAAGCAUUGUUAUUUCCCUCGUUUGUUCAGUGGUUCGUAGACUGCUGGGCAAAUUUAUUCCCGUGAUAAAUCUUGAAGGAAAUCCAAACUUUUAGCCAUACUCUUUGCCAUCUUCUCUCCUCUUAUGAACCAGAGUUGAUAAAAAAAAAAAAAAAUUCUUUUGGCAAUAUCCAUGUUGUUAUUUUUUCCACAUACUGAUUUUUGGGCCUGGGGCACAUUCUGCGGUAAAACUUUGAACUCUUCCUCCCCACACUUUACUUAGACCAGUCACACCAAGAAAAACAUCACGAAUCACAGCUACUCCAUGCAUCUAGGCCCGUGCUUGGUCAGAUCAUGCUUGCUGGGAAAACUUCGUUUCUAUAUCUACACUACUAUUGGCUAAAACGAAAAAAAAUCAGGACUGUGACCUUUGUACGGGUUCUAUUGCUGUUAUGUCAGCCACGUUCUGCCUUCCUACAACUGAGUAUUCUAUUGUCCUCUGAGGCAGUAACUGACUGAAAUUAGAUGCCAAGAUGGAUAAAACUCAAUUCAAAUUCUGUGCCAAAGGAAGAUACAUUUUAUUCUGGGGCUAUUUCUGGAAAUAAAACUUCCUUUUGGUAAUUUGGUUUAGCUGAGGGUUUCUCACAGUGACCACUGGAGUGAAAAGGACAUCAAAAUAGCCUCACUAAAUUGAAGACUGAGUAAUUGGAUUCAAAGUUUAUUUUUACAUCUACAAUAUUUUCGAAAAGGAAAGGGAACGAGUAACUUCUGCGAUCGCCUUUCCACAGUAAGACUAGUAAAAUACUGAGUGUUUUUUAAAGAUUAAAACUUUCCCCUCCUUGGAGCAUGAAGCUUAAGCACAUGCAUGAUUGAUUGCUGUUUAGAAGACAGAGCAUGUCCAUGUCCCAGAGCUAUUUCUCCCUCAAAUGGAAAUUCUUCCUCUAAGU